rnacentral:rRNA from 1 species
CUAAGUGACAAAGCGUACAAGGUGGAUGCCUUGGCAAUCAGAGGCGAAGAAGGACGUGCUAAUCUGCGAAAAGCUUGGAUGAGUCGAUAAGAGGCGUUUAAUCCAAGAUGUCCGAAUGGGGAAACCCAGUAGAUGAAGAAUCUACUAUCACUUACUGAAUUCAUAGGUAAGUGAGGCGAACCGGGAGAACUGAAACAUCUAAGUACCCCGAGGAAAAGAAAUCAACCGAGAUUUUGUGAGUAGCGGCGAGCGAAAGCGAAAGAGCCUGUUAGUGAUAGCGACAGAGACAGAGGAACAAGCUGGGAAGCUUGGCGACACAGGGUGAUAGCCCCGUACUCGAAGUCCAGGUCGUGGUACUAAGCUAACGAGAAGUAGGGCGGGACACGUGAUAUCCUGUUUGAAGAUGGGGGGACCAUCCUCCAAGGCUAAAUACUCCUGAUUGACCGAUAGUGAACCAGUACUGUGAAGGAAAGGCGAAAAGAACCCCGGUGAGGGGAGUGAAAUAGAACCUGAAACCUUGUACGUACAAGCAGUGGGAGCCCUUUAAGGGUGACUGCGUACCUUUUGUAUAAUGGGUCAGCGACUUAUAUUUUGUAGCGAGGUUAACCGAAUAGGGGAGCCGAAGGGAAACCGAGUCUUAACUGGGCGUCUAGUUGCAAGGUAUAGACCCGAAACCCGGUGAUCUAGCCAUGGGCAGGUUGAAGGUUGGGUAACACUAACUGGAGGACCGAACCGACUAAUGUUGAAAAAUUAGCGGAUGACUUGUGGCUGGGGGUGAAAGGCCAAUCAAACCGGGAGAUAGCUGGUUCUCCCCGAAAUCUAUUUAGGUAGAGCCUUGAGCGGACACCUUCGGGGGUAGAGCACUGUUUCGGCUAGGGGUCCAUCCCGGAUUACCAACCCGAUGCAAACUACGAAUACCGAAGAGUGAUACUCAGGAGACACACGGCGGGUGCUAACGUCCGUCGUGGAGAGGGAAACAACCCAGACCGCCAGCUAAGGUCCCAAAGUCUAUAUUAAGUGGGAAACGAAGUGGGAAGGCUUAGACAGCUAGGAUGUUGGCUUAGAAGCAGCCAUCAUUUAAAGAAAGCGUAAUAGCUCACUAGUCGAGUCGGCCUGCGCGGAAGAUGUAACGGGGCUCAAAUAUAGCACCGAAGCUGCGGCAUCAGACGUAAGUCUGUUGGGUAGGGGAGCGUUGUGUAAGCGGAUGAAGAUGGUUCGAGAGGGCUGUUGGACGUAUCACAAGUGCGAAUGCUGACAUAAGUAACGAUAAAACGGGUGAAAAACCCGUUCGCCGGAAGACCAAGGGUUCCUGUCCAACGUUAAUCGGGGCAGGGUGAGUCGGCCCCUAAGGCGAGGCUGAAAAGCGUAGUCGAUGGGAAACGGGUUAAUAUUCCCGUACUUGGUAAAGCUGCGAUGUGGGGACGGAGCAGGUUAGGUUAGCGUACUGUUGGAUAUGUACGUUUAAGUUGGUAGGUGGGAAGUUUAGGCAAAUCCGGACUUCCUUAACACUGAGAGAUGAUGACGAGGCUCUACGGAGCUGAAGUAACUGAUACCACACUUCCAGGAAAAGCCACUAAGCGAAAGGCUUUACUAAACCGUACUGAAAACCGACACAGGUGGUCAGGUAGAGAAUACUCAGGCGCUUGAGAGAACUCGGGUGAAGGAACUAGGCAAAAUAGCACCGUAACUUCGGGAGAAGGUGCGCCGGCGUAGAUUGUAGUCCCUUGCGGAUGAAGGUUGAACCGGUCGAAGAUACCAGCUGGCUGCAACUGUUUAUUAAAAACACAGCACUCUGCAAACACGAAAGUGGACGUAUAGGGUGUGAUGCCUGCCCGGUGCUGGAAGGUUAAUUGAUGGUGUAAUCGAAAGAGAAGCUCCUGAUCGAAGCCCCAGUAAACGGCGGCCGUAACUAUAACGGUCCUAAGGUAGCGAAAUUCCUUGUCGGGUAAGUUCCGACCUGCACGAAUGGCAUAAUGAUGGCCAGGCUGUCUCCACCCGAGACUCAGUGAAAUUGAAAUCGCCGUGAAGAUGCGGUGUACCCGCGGCUAGACGGAAAGACCCCGUGAACCUUUACUAUAGCUUGACACUGAACAUUGAAUUUUGAUGUGUAGGAUAGGUGGGAGACUUUGAAGUAGUCACGCCAGUGAUUAUGGAGUCGUCCUUGAAAUACCACCCUUUAACGUUUGAUGUUCUAACGAAGAUUGCGAAACGCGGUCUCGGACAGUGUCUGGUGGGUAGUUUGACUGGGGCGGUCUCCUCCCAAAGCGUAACGGAGGAGCACGAAGGUUUGCUAAUCACGGUCGGACAUCGUGAGGUUAGUGCAAUGGUAUAAGCAAGCUUAACUGCGAGACAGACAAGUCGAGCAGGUACGAAAGUAGGUCAUAGUGAUCCGGUGGUUCUGCAUGGAAGGGCCAUCGCUCAACGGAUAAAAGGUACUCCGGGGAUAACAGGCUGAUACCGCCCAAGAGUUCAUAUCGACGGCGGUGUUUGGCACCUCGAUGUCGGCUCAUCACAUCCUGGGGCUGUAGUCGGUCCCAAGGGUAUGGCUGUUCGCCAUUUAAAGUGGUACGUGAGCUGGGUUUAAAACGUCGUGAGACAGUUUGGUCCCUAUCUGCAGUGGGCGUUGGAAGUUUGACGGGGGCUGCUCCUAGUACGAGAGGACCGGAGUGGACGAACCUCUGGUGUACCGGUUGUAACGCCAGUUGCAUAGCCGGGUAGCUAAGUUCGGAAGAGAUAAGCGCUGAAAGCAUCUAAGCGCGAAACUCGCCUGAAGAUGAGACUUCCCUUGCGGUUUAACCGCACUAAAGAGUCGUUCGAGACCAGGACGUUGAUAGGUCGGGUGUGGAAGCGCAGCAAUGCGUUAAGCUAACCGAUACUAAUUGCCCGUGCGGCUUGAUCCU